rnacentral:tRNA from 1 species
CAGGGAAUAGUUUAAGUCAGUAAUAUCAGCUUUGGGAGUUGAAGGUGGAGCGUAUAGUUNUUUCUUCCCUGA